rnacentral:rRNA from 1 species
UAGGGAAUCUUCGGCAAUGGGGGGAACCCUGACCGAGCAACGCCGCGUGAGUGAAGAAGGUUUUCGGAUCGUAAAGCUCUGUUGUUAAGGAAGAACGAGUGUGAGAAUGGAAAGUUCAUGCUGUGACGGUACUUAACCAGAAAGGGACGGCUAACUACGUGCCAGCAGCCGCGGUAAUACGUAGGUCCCGAGCGUUGUCCGGAUUUAUUGGGCGUAAAGCGAGCGCAGGCGGUUAGAAAAGUCUGAAGUGAAAGGCAGUGGCUCAACCAUUGUAGGCUUUGGAAACUGUUUAACUUGAGUGCAGAAGGGGAGAGUGGAAUUCCAUGUGUAGCGGUGAAAUGCGUAGAUAUAUGGAGGAACACCGGUGGCGAAAGCGGCUCUCUGGUCUGUAACUGACGCUGCGGCUCGAAAGCGUGGGGAGCGAACAGG